rnacentral:rRNA from 1 species
CCUACGGGGGGCAGCAGUGGGGAAUAUUGGACAAUGGGCGAAAGCCUGAUCCAGCCAUGCCGCGUGUGUGAAGAAGGCCUUCGGGUUGUAAAGCACUUUCAGUGGGGAAGAAAGCCUUGGGGCUAAUACCCUCGAGGAAGGACAUCACCCACAGAAGAAGCACCGGCUAACUCCGUGCCAGCAGCCGCGGUAAUACGGAGGGUGCGAGCGUUAAUCGGAAUUACUGGGCGUAAAGCGCGCGUAGGCGGUCUGAUAAGCCGGUUGUGAAAGCCCCGGGCUCAACCUGGGAACGGCAUCCGGAACUGUCAGGCUAGAGUGCAGGAGAGGAAGGUAGAAUUCCCGGUGUAGCGGUGAAAUGCGUAGAGAUCGGGAGGAAUACCAGUGGCGAAGGCGGCCUUCUGGACUGACACUGACGCUGAGGUGUGAAAGCGUGGGUAGCAAACAGGAUUAGAUACCCUUGUAGUC